AGUCGAGCGGAGAUGAGGUGCUUGCACCUUAUCUUAGCGGCGGACGGGUGAGUAAUGCUUAGGAAUCUGCCUAUUAGUGGGGGACAACAUUCCGAAAGGAAUGCUAAUACCGCAUACGUCCUACGGGAGAAAGCAGGGGAUCUUCGGACCUUGCGCUAAUAGAUGAGCCUAAGUCGGAUUAGCUAGUUGGUGGGGUAAAGGCCUACCAAGGCGACGAUCUGUAGCGGGUCUGAGAGGAUGAUCCGCCACACUGGGACUGAGACACGGCCCAGACUCCUACGGGAGGCAGCAGUGGGGAAUAUUGGACAAUGGGGGGAACCCUGAUCCAGCCAUGCCGCGUGUGUGAAGAGGGCCCUAUGGUUGUAAAGCACUUUAAGCGAGGAGGAGGCUACUGAGACUAAUACUCUUGGAUAGUGGACGUUACUCGCAGAAUAAGCACCGNCUAACUCUGUGCCAGCA
rnacentral:rRNA from 1 species